UUAAUAUUUAUUUCCAUGGAUUUUAUAGAAUUGUCUCAUGCAUCACUUGUAUUUAUUUUUGAGAGCACACACAUUAAACUUUAAGUUAGGUGGGGGACUAGCAGCUUACCUUAUGACUUGAGUCAAGGUUUAAGUUUGUGUAAACCCCAACUCUUUGUUGAGUGCUUAGACUGGUAAAUAUUGGUACACGUGCCAAUCCAUUACCUACUGGGCCCCUAUAUUGCCUUUACGAGGGUAAUCACUGGGACAACAAGAGACCCUUUUUUAGAGACCAAGUAGUAAACCUACCCUUUGUCUCAUGUAAAAAGAUUAGAACCUGCCUGUAGGAUGUAUGCUCCAUAAAUAUUUGUUUUGCAUCUGAGCAAACCCUUCUUGAAGCAUCUUGAACU
rnacentral:lncRNA from 1 species